rnacentral:rRNA from 1 species
GCCUACGGGGGGCAGCAGUGGGGAAUAUUGCACAAUGGGGGAAACCCUGAUGCAGCAACGCCGCGUGAGUGAAGAAGUAUUUCGGUAUGUAAAGCUCUAUCAGCAGGGAAGAAGAUGACGGUACCUGAUUAAGAAGCCCCGGCUAACUACGUGCCAGCAGCCGCGGUAAUACGUAGGGGGCAAGCGUUAUCCGGAUUUACUGGGUGUAAAGGGAGCGCAGACGGCAGUGCAAGUCUGGAGUGAAAGCCCGGGGCUCAACCCCGGAACUGCUUUGGAAACUGUACAGCUAGAGUGCAGGAGGGGUG